UACGGAGGGGACUAGCGUUGUUCGGAAUUACUGGGCGUAAAGCGCACGUAGGCGGAUUUGUAAGUCAGGGGUGAAAUCCCGGGGCUCAACCUCGGAACUGCCUUUGAUACUGCAAAUCUCGAGUCCGGAAGAGGUGAGUGGAAUUCCUAGUGUAGAGGUGAAAUUCGUAGAUAUUAGGAAGAACACCAGUGGCGAAGGCGGCUCACUGGUCCGGUACUGACGCUGAGGUGCGAAAGCGUGGGGAGCAAACGGGG
rnacentral:rRNA from 1 species